rnacentral:lncRNA from 1 species
CUGCCAACAUCCUGGGGCUGAGUUUGCCUUUCCACUUCUAGGAAUUUCCACGGACAUGCAGGAGGGGGGUUCCAGGCUGCCAAGAUGGCUGUGAAUGUGUGUGACCAUCGAGGAGUUGGCGAAGUCAGAAGGUUGAGGUCAAAGGUCUCUCUCUCUCCAAAGCACCUGAGGGUCAGCUGCUAAACUGUUACGCAUUGAGAAAACACAUUGUUGUCUGUGUGCUUGCUAAGGGGUUUUUAUCUAGCUCUGCUGCCUUGAUUACAGGAGCUCCUGGCUUAAAUUGGUAACCCUCACCAGAGUCAGAGAGAGCUGUGCCCGUGCGCUCCUGGCAUCCGACCCCGGCAACCUCCAGAAGAGGGCGUCCUCUGGAAGAGCAAGGCAGCCAUCCCUCCACAAGACUCUUUUUAAGUGCUGAGAGUAGAAGUGUGGACCACAUGCCUUUCCCCAGCCUAACAUCGUUUUACAACAUGUCUGGAGUCCUAUUAUCUCAACAGGAGACCUUAGAGGUAUAGAAAAAAACCACUUCAGAUUGGGAGUGGUGGUGGUGGUGGGGG